UACGAGGGGGGCAAGCGUUGUUCGGAAUUAUUGGGCGUAAAGGGCGCGUAGGCGGUUGGAUAAGUCUUGUGUGAAAUCUUCGGGCUCAACUCGAAGUCUGCACGAGAAACUAUCUGGCUUGAGUGUGGGAGAGGUGAAUGGAAUUCCUGGUGUAGAGAUAAAAUGUUUUGAUACCAGAAGGACUGGUAAUGGCGAAGGCAUCCUUCUAUGUAAAAACUGACGUUGAGGGACGAAGGCUUGGGUAG
rnacentral:rRNA from 1 species